rnacentral:rRNA from 1 species
AUUGAACGCUGGCGGCAGGCCUAACACAUGCAAGUCGAGCGAGCGGCGGACGGGUGAGUAAGGGAUGGAGAUCUGGCCGAUAGAGGGGGAUGACGGCGGGAAAACGUGGCUAAUACCGCAUACUAUCGGAUGAACCCACAUGGGAUUAGCUAGUAGGUGGGGUAAAGGCUCACCGGGGCGACGAUGUCUAGCUGGUCUGAGAGGAUGACCAUCCACACUGGGACUGAGACACGGCCCAGACUCCUACGGGAGGCAGCAGUGGGGAAUAUUGCACAAUGGGCGCAAGCCUGAUGCAGCCAUGCCGCGUGUAUGAAGAAGGCCUUAGGGUUGUAAAGUACUUUCAGCGGGGAGGCGGUACCCGCAGAAGAAGCACCGGCUAACUCCGUGCCAGCAGCCGCGGUAAUAC